rnacentral:rRNA from 1 species
ACCUGCAGUCAGUCCUUUGACUUGUCCUCACGUGAUCCAGUCAAAUCUCAUAAGCUAAGCAGGGUGGGACAUGGUCAGUGUUUGGACACGAGUCAACCAGCAAAUCUGGGUGCUGCAGUGA